GGGCUGGGGGCGGGAAGCGGGGGCGGGGUGGCGCAGGAAGAGAGAGCGCGGGCUGUGGGCGGUGCGGGUGGCGCCGGCGUGAGCGCGCGUGGAGGCGGCACUCGGGAGGCAGCGGUCGGGGCCGCGGGCCUUCGAGGGGUCCCGCAGGAGUGCGGUAAAGGAGCCGGUGGCUCCCGCACUAUUGCAGACAAUGUGGUAUACUGUCUGCUCAGCCUGACGCUGAUCCCUCACUGAUCUGAAGGCCAGCCGGAAGCCAGUGUACAGGGGUAGUGGCAGCCCGUCCAUGUGUACCCCCAGAAGAUCAGGGCCGUAGAGGAGAAUGAGAAGUGGAGGCUGGCAACAAAAACAGGAGGAGGAACAGUGACAAGUGUCACCCAGGGUGGUGAUGGCCGCCCCGCCAGCACAUCCUCCCCGACCUUCCACCGCGCCCUGCUCUUCCAGUGUGCUGAGUGUUUUGCAGGUCCAUGUGUGGAUAUGUGUUGGGGAGCCGGAGGAUGAUUUUGAGUGUCCUUCCUAAGAAAGGCUUUUGUGACGGGGUCUCUCUCGUUGGCCUGGUGCUCACCAGUUCAGCCGGCUGAGAUUACAGGUCAGGGAGCUUGCCCGGCUGGACAGAGUGGCCCACCUCACAGACUCUGUCCUCAGACGCCUGCCGCUGAGUCUCCUCAGUCCCCCGCCCUGCAGAUGUGGAGUCCCCACUCUGUCCUCAUCCGUGCCUUCUGCUCUCCAGUUGACAACUCUCCAGUUGACAACUCCCCCGUUUCCGUUUGUCUGCAGCGUGGUGGCCUCAGCCUCUGCGAGGCGGCUCGGCUGUGCUGCCACCAAGUGCCUCAUCACCUGUGCGGCUCAGUCUGUAUCUGCUGGCUUGCUUUUUAAGACUUACUUUUAUUUGCAUUUAUGUGUUGUUGGGGGAGGGGACCGCAGAGUCUGGAGGGGUGAAGGCAGAAGGGUGGCGGUCUGAGAAGGGUCAGAGUCUGGAGGUUGUGAGUCACUGACUCCGGUGUGGGGUCUGAACUCGGGUCCUCUGCUAGAGCAGCAGGCGCUCUCCAGUGCUGAGCCAGGUCUGCCCCCGGCUGCCUUCACUUCGGAACCAGGCGCACGCUGUCUGUCCUCUGCGUGACAAGUCAUUUGAGCCCAUCAACCUAGCCAGCUCAGGCCCUGCUGCCUUCAGCGGUUCCUGGGUCCCUUUGUGUGAUUCUCGGGGUCUGCCUCUCACAGGUGUGACGGAGGGCCAGCCUGGGCCUGGGAGGGGCCUUCCCAGGCUCCUCCUUUCCUGGGACGCACAGACAGGCCGUCUUUCACAGCUCAGGUAUCCCCCCCCCCCGUUAAACUGUCCUUUUUGCUGUGCAAUUUUGAACCUGAGUUUUCUACCUGGGGAAGAGCUGUGGGGGGAGAUGAGACCAGAGAGCUCCCAGACAGCAUGCACACCCCGCAAGAUGCUUCAGACAGGAGAAAGCAACCGGACAGGACGCCUCUACCUCAGGUGGGUGGGUUAAAGCCAGCCUCCUGUCUGUCUUGGUUACUCUGUGAGCGUGUGCUCUUGUCUCGUGUAUAUUUGCUAGAAGCAGGAAGAGGGUGUUUGAGCCCUUGGAACGGUAACAGCAGGCAUUUGUGGCACACCUGGCUUGUUUCUGGGUGCUGGGUCUCAGGUGAGCAGCAAGCUCCCUCAGUCUCUCCAGCCCGGCUCCGGCUUCUCACGGUGUCAGCUGUCAUGCCUCACCACCGUGGUCCAUGUCAGCCCGUGUCUAGGCUGGCAUGGAAGUGUGUCUGCCCUCUUCGUGGAGGGAGAGCCAGGGGUGGCUGGGACCAUGACUCCAACUCUGUCAUCCCAGUGGAAGGCUGAGGUGGAAGAGGAUUGCCACACCCAUGAGGCUGUCCGGAUCCAGAUGUGUCUCUGAAGACAGCCAGUGCUCAAGAGAUGAGUCAGGGCUGCGGAGUGGCUGCUCUUCCAGAGGCCUUGAGAUCAGUCAGGGCAGCUCACAACUGCUUGUGGCUCCAGAUGCUGGCAGCUGAUACCCUCUUCUGGCUACCUGCACACACAUGGGUGUGCAUGCUUGUAAGUAUGGAUGAUCUGUGUGGAGAGGCCAUGGAAACUGCCGGAGGCGAGCAGUUCAGAUGGGACACACAGAGCAACACGAAAACAGCAGUGUGCCAGUGGGGGCGUGCGCCUUUAAUGCCAGCAUCUGGGCAGCAAAGACAGUCGCUGCCUUCACCACCAUCCUGGACGCUCCCUCUGCCGUAGCCCAAACAAGCCAACCCUUCCCUCUUCCCUAAGUGGCCUUCGUCACGGUGUUCUCUCGCAGCAACGCAAAGUCACUGAUAUGUACCUCGUGUGUGCACUACACACGAAAAGGAAAACAAAUGUAACAAAAGUUCAAAGCUAAUACCCCGAGAAAGAUAAUACUCUCAACGAGAAGAGACUCAAGUAAACCACAAGCGCACCCACGCGUGGACCUGGAGGCUCCCCACGCUUGAGGGCCAGCUCUCCAGCUCUGUCCAUGAUUGCACUGCGGUCUUCCUCAGAGCCCCAUCUGGCAUCUUUGUGGAAAUUGAGAUGCUUAUCCUAAAAUUCCUAUGGAAUUCCCAGGGCCCCUAACAGCCCAAACAGUCUUGUGAGAGAAGGAGGCUGGAGGAUGCACUUCCCAGACAAGUGGGGGUUGAGGGGUAAGGCUGGUGACGCCACGGAUCCGAACUCACAGGUUGCCAGAAUACUUCAAUCCAGAAAUCAAUCUGUCUCUCUCUGUCAUUUGGUUUUUGGAGACAGGGUUUCUGUGUAGCCAUGGCUGUUCUGGAAGUCUGUAUGUAGACCAGGCUACCCUCAGACUUCAGAGAGCCACCUGCCUCUGCCUCCUAAGUGAUGGGAUUAAAGGUGUGGGCCACAAUA